UCGCGAGCUGAUGCAGCGACGCCGCGUGAGGGAUGACGGCCUUCGGGUUGUAAACCUCUUUCAGCAGGGAAGAAGCGAAAGUGACGGUACCUGCAGAAGAAGCGCCGGCUAACUACGUGCCAGCAGCCGCGGUAAUACGUAGGGCGCGAGCGUUGUCCGGAAUUAUUGGGCGUAAAGAGCUCGUAGGCGGCUUGUCGCGUCGGUUGUGAAAGCCCGGGGCUUAACCCCGGGUCUGCAGUCGAUACGGGCAGGCUAGAGUUCGGUAGGGGAGAUCGGAAUUCCUGGUGUAGCGGUGAAAUGCGCAGAUAUCAGGAGGAACACCGGUGGCGAAGGCGGAUCUCUGGGCCGAUACUGACGCUGAGGAGCGAAAGCGUGGGGAGCGAACAGGAUUAGAUACC
rnacentral:rRNA from 1 species